rnacentral:rRNA from 1 species
UACGUAGGGUGCGAGCGUUAAUCGGAAUUACUGGGCGUAAAGCGUGCGCAGGCGGUUUUUUAAGUUGGAUGUGAAAUCCCUGGGCUUAACCUGGGAACUGCAUUCAAAACUGCUUGACUAGAGUUUGGUAGAGGGUAGUGGAAUUCCCGGUGUAGCGGUGAAAUGCGUAGAUAUCGGGAGGAACAUCAGUGGCGAAGGCGGCUACCUGGACCAGAACUGACGCUGAGGCGCGAAAGCGUGGGGAGCAAACAGG